AAUUUGUUUACUGUUAUAUUAGUUAUAAAAUGAUAUUAAAUUAUUUGUUUUUACUUAACCUUUUUUUUACUUCAAUAUAAUAUCUUAAAACAACCAUUUUUCUGCAUUAUUAGUUGUGAAAUAUGUAUGUGUGUAUGUCUUGUCAAUGUGUUUUCUCUUAGAUGUUCUUAUUUUUGACCAGAAAUUAUUGGAAAAUUCAAGGACUUUUGGAAUCAACAUUUUGGAUGCGUCAGCAUCAUAUCUCUGCAUACAGGGCCAAAAUUUUAGUGUCACUUUGACAGCAAAUGCAUAGGCCAUUUCCUGAUAUAAAAAAAUAAUGCAUUUUUUGGAUGAAUUGUGGCAACAAUUAUUUUCAUAUUCGUUAAUUUAAAAAAUGAGUAUCCCUUUUGGAAUUCUUAUAAAGCGCUUUUCCCCCAAACCCUUAAAAAAACUUGCUUUUAUAAGUUUGCUUAUAGCAGGAGAAUUUAGUGGUUCGAUUUGGAUUGGUUUUUCAAGAAGGUAUUAUGGACCACAAGGUGUACAUACAACUUUUGAAGGAUAAUUUAUCUAAAGUGCUGUAAAACUUGGGCAAGAAAACGACCCCAAAAUGUUGGGCCCUGGCUGAUCUAUAAUGUAAGGAAGCUGUUCUAUAAUGGCAUUUAUAGGAAGGAAGGAUCAGGCAGCACACAAAAACUUCGAAGGCAAUGCCAAAAGAUAUUUUCCUAUUAGAAUGGGAGCUAAUGACAGCGGCUCAAACUGAAAAGCUUGUAAAUUCCUUGCAAAGACGCAUGACUGAAGUAUUGCAAAGGAAAGGCAAUCACAACAUCGUGUUGAAUCUUUGCUUAUAGGCGACAAAUAAUAAAGUCUCCUGAAACUGCCAAAA